GGCUGAAUGGUGUAGUGGUUAUCACAUCUGUCUUACACUGAGUAAGGUUCACAGAAGGUCCCAAGUUCAAUCCUUGGUUCAGUCA